GGGGUUGUAGCUCAGUAGUAGAGCACAUGCCUAGCAUGCAUAAGGCACUGGGUUCGAUUCUCAGCACCACA
rnacentral:tRNA from 1 species